rnacentral:tmRNA from 2 species
AAGGGUUUUGACGGGGAGUUGUGGUUGCGCGAGUUGCGAGCCGAGGGUGCUAUUUGCCUCGUAAAACACGGUAGCCAACGUCACAAAUGCAGACGUAAAAGAAGCAAUGAAGGGCGUGACUUGGGCCUGGACGAAUAGUUCAGUGCUUGAGCCCGCUCUUGCCGCAGCUUAAUAAUAUAAGCUGUCCGUCCCCCGGGUUCGCCGAAGAGCCCGGGUCAGACGCUAUAAUUUCGGCUGCGCCGUUCGCUUUUUCCGGUUAGCGGGCGGCAAAGCAAAAGACAUCGGAUAGCUUGGGAAAUUCCUCGUUUCGGGUCAAAUCCCAGGCGAACUAUUAAUUGAAGCUACGCUCGUAGCGGCUUUCGCGAUCGCCUGUCCGGACGCGGGUUCGAUCA